rnacentral:lncRNA from 1 species
UGACCUACGUAGAAACGAAGCCAAAGCUUCACUUCUCUCCAACAACCCAAAACCCAUGGACACAGCAGAAGGUGCUAUCGUAGAAGACGGAAAAAAAUCAGAAACUUUCAGCAAGUACGUCGCUUCUGUGAACAAAGCCACAAUCACACUGACCUACAUAAAAAAUGUCUAAAAAACUGAGCAAAGUACAAGUAUCUCUCUCUUUGAAGAUGAAUUCACUCUAACUAAGCUCAACAGGGCAAUAAGAAGAAACCGAUGCCUCUCAAAUCCCCAAGACCAGAUUUAUAAGAUCCACAAUGAAAUGCUUGUCUACCUCAAUCCGGCUGAUAUGGUAAGGGCACCAUUUUCCAGCUAAUCACCAAGACGAGGAAUGAAAAACGAUCCCCUGAACAAGGAGAACCUGCUAAAAAAAUGAACAGCUAUCGACCCAUUUCAGUCACUUUGUGCAUCAGGAACUUGCAGAGAGGAUGGUCAAGAACCACCUGUACUGGUGGCUGGAAACAAUCUCUGCAGAAUUUCGUGCGGGCCAGGGCAAAAUAAAUAGCUCAGCCAGAGAAGUCCAUGACCGCUUCCAUGAAAAGAAACAUACAGUAGAGGAGUUUGAUUAUCUCCAGCAAGCUUACAACAGGGUAUAUAGGAAAGGUGGUAGAUGACACGGACUGGAAUCCACUGGAAACUCCACAGUUGAGUGAAGACCUUCCUUACAGACAGGAUAAUCCAGACCAAGAGAAAGUGUGGUGUUUUAUUGAAAGCUGUACUGGAGCAGGGACUACCCUAGGUAGCUGUACACUUUUCCUUGACCUGCCUGAAAUACUGAAAUCGGAGAAGGCCCUAUAUAUGCCAGUGACAUCCAUUGGCAGUCAAGUCAGGAAGUUGUUCCUACCGUUACCCACUUUGGGCGGGGGGUGGGGGACUGAACAGUCACCUAGCACUGCUUACUCGGGACCGGUACUUGGUUUCAGUAAAGCCUAUCAAUAUUACACACUGAAGUAAGAAAACUUUCACCACUACACAAUUUAAAGUAAGGCUCUUAUAACUCAGUGACCUACGUCAUGUUGACCACGCUCAAGUUCAGGGUUACAGAGGUUAUAAAUGGCAAGACAACAGCAAAUCACUGUGAGCACAUCGGUGAAUUGCUCUGAAGCUAUCAUAUUACGGCAUUGUGUAAGCUAUCGUGAACUGGAUAAGAUGGCGUUAUUUUUUAACUGCUUUUGUGGGCUUUGUUCGGCUGGUGCACAUUCAGAUUGUGUCGCCUUAUUAACAUUUAUGUACUACGAAACUCACUCUAGCACUUUUUGUAGUGUGCUACAGCCACACUCUGGCGAGGAACUUGCUCUUAUAACUCAGUGACCUACGUCAUGUUGACCACGCUCAAGUUCAGGGUUACAGAGGUUAUAAAUGGCAAGACAACAGCAAAUCACUGUGAGCACAUCGGUGAAUUGCUCUGAAGCUAUCAUAUUACGGCAUUGUGUAAGCUAUCGUGAACUGGAUAAGAUGGCGUUAUUUUUUAACUGCUUUUGUGGGCUUUGUUCGGCUGGUGCACAUUCAGAUUGUGUCGCCUUAUUAACAUUUAUGUACUACGAAACUCACUCUAGCACUUUUUGUAGUGUGCUACAGCCACACUCUGGCGAGGAACUUGCUCUUAUAACUCAGUGACCUACGUCAUGUUGACCACGCUCAAGUUCAGGGUUACAGAGGUUAUAAAUGGCAAGACAACAGCAAAUCACUGUGAGCACAUCGGUGAAUUGCUCUGAAGCUAUCAUAUUACGGCAUUGUGUAAGCUAUCGUGAACUGGAUAAGAUGGCGUUAUUUUUUAACUGCUUUUGUGGGCUUUGUUCGGCUGGUGCACAUUCAGAUUGUGUCGCCUUAUUAACAUUUAUGUACUACGAAACUCACUCUAAACAUAAUAGUUGUUUGGGUCCGCCCAUAGAGCACUUUUUGUAGUGUGCUACAGCCACACUCUGGCGAGGAACUUGUAUGGAAAAUUGAGCAAGGUUCUUUUAUAGUCUCUUUGUGGGUGUUGUGCGCAUUGAAAUGUUUGGGAGGCAGUGCACAUCCGAGCUGUAUGGGAUAUAGUAGCCGCCUCUAGCAUUUUGUUCCAACACCGGUAUGGUCCAUGGUUAUUACGGUCCAACUUUGUUAUGGUACAAUUUCGUUAUGGUCCAACUCUGUUAUGGUUCAACUCUGUUAUGGUCCAUUGUUGUUACGGUCCAACUCUGUUAUGGCACGGCACAACUUUAUUUAUGGUCCAACUCUGUUAUGGUCCAUCUAAUUUUUUGUCCAAGCCUUUUAUGGUCCAACUCUUAUGGUCCAAGUCUGUUAUGGUCCAAGUCAGUUAUGGUCCAUUGUUGAUACGUCCCAACUCUGUUAUGGUACAACUAUAUUAUGGUCCGACUCUGUUAUGGUCCAUCUUUUUUUGUCCAACACUUUUAUUGUCUAACUUUGUUAAGGUCCAACUCUGUCUAAUUACUGGAUCAACCUUUUAAUGGUUCAUAUCUAUUAAGGUCCAAUCCUUUUAUGGUCCGAUUCUGUUGUGGUUCAACUCUGUUAUGGUCCUUCUCUUUUUGGUCCGACCCUUUUAUGGUCCAAAUCUGUUAAGGUCCAUUGUUAUUACGGUCCAACUUUGUUAUGGUACAACAUUGUUAUUGCCCAACUCUGUUAUGGUCCGUCUCUUUUGUGUUCCAACCCUUUUAUGGUCCUACUCUGUUAUGGUCCAUUUCUGUUUCCGACCAACCGCUUUAUGAUCCAACUGGGUUAUGAUCUAUCUGGGUUAUGGUCCAAUCUCUUUUUUGUCCAACUCUUUCAUGGUCCAUCUAUUUUUUGGUCAAAGCCAUUUUUGGUCGAAGCCUUUUACUGUCCAACUCAGUUAUGGUUCAACUCUGUUAGGGUCAAUCCUUUUUUUUUUGGUUCAACCAAUUUAUGGUCCAACUUUGUUAUGGUCCAUCUCUGUUAUGGUCCUCCUCUUUUUGGGAAAGACAUUUUUAUGGUCCAACUAUGUAAUGGUCCAACUCUGUUAUGGUCCAUCUCUUUUUUGGUCCAAUCCUUUUAUGGUCUAAAUCUGUAACGUGAUAACGUUUUUAUGGUCCAACUGUGUUGUGGUUCAACUGUGUUAUGGUCCAACUCUUUUUUAGUCCAACCCUUUUACUGUCCAACUCAGUUAUGGUCCUACUGUGUUAUGAUCCAUCUAAUUUUUGGUUCAACCCUUUUAUGGUCCAAAUCUGCUAUGGUCCAUUGUUGUUAUGGUCCAACUCU